AAAACCUGUUAUUGAAAAGAUGACGGAAGAUGCUAACGCCGUAGCGGUUACAUUUUCCUCCGUUAAGUUCUUUGAUUUUACGUUAAGUUGUCUCGAUCCGAUGUGAAUGCACACGGAUCGUGGUUUGAUCUAUGGCUGGGGGGUUGCCACGUGGAAAGUGAUUAAUUGGAGAUCAUUCCCCAAUUGCAUGCCUUUGUUGUGGUUUUAGGGAUGCCUGUGGUAAUGACACGUGUCCAGACAGUUAUAACCGUCUGGGUGGAUUUUAAUCCUUUGCUUAUGGAAGAAGGCGCAAGGAUUUUAUGCUUUCCUUUGGGCGCGCGACUAUAA
rnacentral:lncRNA from 1 species